rnacentral:tRNA from 1 species
UUAUAGGGAGACCUACCCGCUCAAUCGGUGAGAAGAGCGAUCUGAAGUCUAGCAGCAAUGGCCAGACCAUAAAGAGAGCUAAACACCCUAAACAUAGCCAUUGAGUUGGUCAUCCCAAGGUCGGUCAAGGUCAAUGAUGGUAUGGCUUUCAAACAAGUCUAGGUCUGGGAGAGAUGGGCUAUUAGCUCAGGUGGUUAGAGCGCACCCCUGAUAAGGGUGAGGUCCCUGGUUCGAGUCCAGGAUGGCCCACCUAGGGGGUUUAGCUCAGUUGGUAGAGCGCCUGCUUUGCAAGCAGGAUGUCAGCAGUUCGAGUCUGCUAACCUCCACUAGAAGGAAAAAAUACUUCUAGAGUUCAGCAACUUGUCUAACUUAGGUAAAUCAGAUGUAUAGAUGAUGUGCUAAGUUAGAGAGCCUGCUGGAGUCAAACCAGCCAAGCGAACCUUGAAAACUGCAUAGAAACUUGUCAGGUAGAUGAGUUAUUAGCCUUUGGGUAUCAGUAAUUAGUUAAUAGAGCUAGUUGCUAACCCCUAACAGCUAAUGACUUUCAUCACAGACACCAAUGUUGAGAACUUUUAGUG